GUUUCCAACUUUCCAUGUAAAAGCGGGGUUCAAGAAGUUUCUUUUAUUGUUAUGUCUCGAUGUAAAAUAUUCAAGUGUGUAGAAAUAAUUGAUAGUAGAGAAUUUUAUUGAAAAACGUAAUCAUUUGCACACUAGGUUUCGCGAAUUACGAUGUAAAUAUUGUUAUCGGUCGGUAUCAAACGCGGUUAAGUGAGCUAAGAUUUCUAACAGUAUUUUCAUAUAGUUAACAUGGCUUCCAUGAAAGACACAGCCACCUUUUUUACAGAAGGUACUGCGUCUCAGUUUCAGUAUAUGUUAAGUUUAUACCCUCAAGUAUUAAAGCUAAAAGCCGCUAGGAAAGCUGAGAGUAAAAACAAAAACCCGGAGGAUCUAAUUAAACUCGACAAUUGGUACCAGAAUGAAUUACCAAAAAAACUCAAAGCCAGAGGGAAAGAUGCUCAUUUGAAUCACGAAGAAUUAGUUCAACUCAUGAAAUGGAAGCAAGCUAGAGGCAAAUAUUACCCUCAGUUAAAUUAUUUAAUUAAAGUAAAUACUCCUCGAGCUGUAAUGAAUGAAACGAAGAAAGCUUUUAAGAAAUUGCCCAACCUGGAACAAGCAAUCACCGCGCUUAGCAAUUUAAAGGGAGUUGGUACUACGACAGCUUCAGCUUUAUUAGCUGCUGCUGCGCCUGAUAUUGCACCUUUUAUGGCCGACGAAUGUUUGCUGGCGAUUCCUGAAAUCGAAGGCAUUGAUUACACGACGAAAGAAUACAUGAAUUUUGUAUCACACAUUCAAAAUACCUCGGAUAGACUCAGUAAAGAAUCAACAAACGGAACGUGGAACCUGCAUUCCGUCGAGUUGGCUUUAUGGACUCAUUUUGUAGCUAGUGAAUUGAAACCAGAAUUAUUGGACGGUAUUCCAUGUCCGAAUGGCAAAACACCGUCGAAUGUUACUCACCAAAACGGCGACGUUUCAAAUACUGCCUCGAAGACAACUUCGCCGGAGAAUGCAGAUUUAUCUAACGAUGUAACUUCAUCAGAGGAUGCCGACAAUACUAAUAAGGUAGCUAACGCCGAGUGUUCAAAUUCAAAUAAUGACGAAAAUGACGCGAUUUCAAUUAACGAAGAAGACUCGUUGGAUAAGUCUUCGGUGACGCGUAUCAACGCCGAAAUUAAUAACGACGAUGAUGCGACCAACGAUUCAGUGAUAACUUCUGAUUCAGCUACGAACGAUUCUGUCGAAGUUGAAAACAAACAGAAGAACGUCGUAGUGGACAUUAACGAAGAAACUUGCUCGAGUUUCCUCGAACCGCCUAAUAAAAAGGUCAAGUUACAAAAUGAAAACAGUUUGGAUGCGGUAGAGAACAACAGUUCGGAUGCGGUAGAGAACGAUGAUUCGCAAAACUCUAUACCGGAUAAUAAAUGACAAUGUUCCCUGUUUUAUACUUACCUUCACAAUGUGUACGUGUAUUAAAUGCGAUAUCAGUAACAGCAAGUAUUCAAAUAGUAAGAAAAUUUUGCACAUUUGUAAAAAGUUAUACGAUUUUGGAGUAGUAGGUAAUUUUAAUUUUAUUCACGGAUCUGUGUAAUUUAUUAAUUUUAUAUAUUUAUUAAAAUUUAAAUGAAUACGAUGAAAUGAAUAAUAAAAAUUAACGAUCGAUGCGGUAAAAAGAAAAAAAAGGGAUUCAAGAUGAGAUUACUUUUGAAAAAGUACGAAUGUGCAAUGCGAUUCUGAUCAGUUUUCAUGUUGAAACGUUCGUCUUCGUCGUCGUGAUUUGUUUGGUAAUAAGCUUCGCUUAGUUUUUAAAAAUUGAAAAAAUUGAAAAAAAAAACUGAAAGUAUAACAAAUUAUUUAAAACUUUUUUAUCGAUUUUUUUUCUUUUUUUUUUUGAUUAAUUAUUUCGUAACUCUAAAUAGGACCUUAUAAAUUAUCGUUAGUGCUACUCGUUCUACUAUUAACGUUAAGGUUUAUGAAUUACGAUUUCUAUAUUGUUGUUAUUUAUAAUAAUUUUUCUAAUUUAUUACUUUUACUAUUAUUAUUACGGUAAUAAUGAUAAUAAUAAUGUCUUAUAGUUAUUAUUUAUUCGAUAAUUAUGGUUACUUAUUGUACGUAUGUAAUUUAUAAUAUUUGAAAUUCAAAUGUAGCCCUUUUUAUUCGUGUGUUGGUUGGUACUUUGUAAUCGACGAAUGGUGAUGUAAAAAAAAAAAAUUCCCCCGAAUAAACGUAACGGAUAUUAGCAGUAUGUACAAAAUGUUUUAUUACUUCAACGGAUAUGUGUGUAUUUUUUGAUCUUUUUUUUCUGUUUCUGUUUUGUUUUUUUUUUUUUUUUUUGUUUUUUUUCACCGUCUCUGUCUCUCGAAAUAAUUAUGAUGUAUAUAAAAAGCAGACAUUUUUAGACUACGAUGUAAUUAUCUACAUAUAUACCUGUUUUAUGCUUGCAAAUUAAUUUUUAAUAAAAGAAAUAUCGUAAGUAUUGUGUGCCUUAUCGUUUUAUUUUAAAAUAUUUAUAUAGUAGCGCGUGUAUUUCUAUUUUACUUUACUUGGGUGUCGUAUGUUGUACAAUGGUGAUCAGAAUCGAGUUUUUUUGAAGCAUAUACUGUUCUGUCUGGCACAUAUUCGUUGUAUUUUAAGUUGAAACGUUUUGUUAUUCACUAUUUUGGGAAAGUCGUUCUUAGAACUUAUUUAAAUUAUUAUGUUAAUGCCCAGUUGGAAAAAUGAAAAAUGCAUUACUAAUUAUUUAUUUUAUACCUUAACGGUACCUUAAUUUAUUUUUUUACCUAUUUAUGUCGCGACACGACCGUAUGAACCUGUACUUUGAGAUUUUUAUUUACGAAAUUGAUUUUCAUUUAUUUAUUUAUUCGUUCGUUCGUUUUUUCUGUAUGAAAAUACGCGUUGAUUCGAUUAACAACUUCUUCUUAUAAAUAUUACAAUGUACCGCGGCUUUAGUUUGGAUUUUUUUUUCACCAAUCGCUGUCUCAAUUGUAUUCCUGUUUACAUUCCUUUUUAUUUUAUUCAUCCGAAUCGAUGAAAAUGUACCUAUAAUUUAUUAUUUCUUUUUUUUUUUUCUUUCAUCGUCUAAGAAUACGAAGAUAUUGUGUUAUCGUUCGUAGAAGUACAUACAUUCGUUGUUUGAAUGGCGAUUUUUUUUUUGUUUUUUUUUGUUUCAACGUUGAAAUUUGAUGGUAUCUUCCUAAAGGGAAAAUGAUGGCGAAUAAAUGUGUACUUUGAAAAAAAAACGGAAUUAUCGAGUUUGUGAAAUAGUUUAAUUUAGUAUUGUCUAGUGCUUAUGGUGCUGUUAACGUUGGACUUGUAAUGUGUCGACCAACGAGAAGAGUAUUGUGUUUAUAUACUUUUUUAAAACAUUUCAUUAUGUCAUGCAUGAAUUAUACCCUUUUGAUUAAU